rnacentral:lncRNA from 1 species
CCGGACGGAAGUAGUAAUAAAGUAGACAAAUAAAGGCCAUAUGAAACCCUGAACUAGUAGACCAAGUAAAAGAUCGGUAUGGUCGACUAAAGGACGGAGGGUGAACAUGCAACUAACAAAUUUUAACAUUUUCUUUUUUUUUUGAAAGAUACAAAGCACUUAAUCUUAAGGCUCACUAGAUUUUCUAAAGUGAAUGCAACCUUGGUAUGAAGCGUAAUAGCUGAAGUGAUAGCCGGAGCAACAAGAUAAACAAUAUAACUUGCAAGAAUGUAAAGGGUUAAAAAUGAUACCACAUGAGAGACGAAGAUUUCUCCGGAGUUCCACCUUUUGGGAUAGGUGUACGUCUCCGUUUUGGAGGAGUGCUCUACCACAAAGGUAGAGGCGCCACAAAGGCUCACUCUAUUCUUCUCUCACAACACCACAAAGGCGAGGUGAGCUCCACUAGUGGCUUUCUUGAGGGUGAAGGUCGGACCCUUAUACUCUUGACCGGGGCACCACUCCACAACUCAAUUGGAAGCUCCCAAUCCAAUCCUCGAGCUCGUCAACACUAAGGAGGAGCACGAGGCUACCGCUUUCGUCUAGGGUUCCCAACAACCCAAGAGAAAUGAAAUCCACAAAUCAAACAAGGAGAAUCAACUUUUUGACUUGGUGAAACCCUAAAUCUUAAUCUUCUCUUCAUAUUCUCAAAGUAUUGGCUUGGGAAAUCAACUAGGGAGAGAGAUCGAGGGAGAUAAAGUUCUUGUGUUCUUGAGAGAGGAAAUGGUGUUCUUGGCUUGAAGCUCGGGCAGGGGACUUGUUGGGGACGAAGGGGUAUAUAAAUGGGGUUCGCAAAAUCGAGCCGUUAUGCAGUGAACAGUCUCAGGCCAGUACAUCCGAAGAACCACCGAAACUUCCAGCGGACUAGAACUCGGAGGAGGCUAACCGAGAGCAGCCGGCGGUUCGGCGCGGAACUUCUGCCACCUAGGAAGCUGGAAUCUCAGGAGCAAAAAUUGAAGUUUGGUCUCUCCUCUCUCAAUUUGGGUAGGCUUUUUAGUGGGUGCAAUAUGUGUAUUUGUGUUGUGAAAUUGAUUCACCCAGUACCUUCCCUUGUGGAUUCCCUCUUAAUAGUACAC